rnacentral:rRNA from 1 species
GACGAACGCUGGCGGCGUGCUUAACACAUGCAAGUCGAACGGUGACGAGGAGCUUGCUCCUCUGAUCAGUGGCGAACGGGUGAGUAACACGUGAGCAACCUGCCCCAGACUCUGGGAUAACAGUUGGAAACAGCUGCUAAUACCGGAUACGAGACGGAGAGGCAUCUCUACCGUCUGGAAAGUUUUUCGGUCUGGGAUGGACUCGCGGCCUAUCAGCUAGUUGGUGAGGUAAUGGCUCACCAAGGCGACGACGGGUAGCCGGCCUGAGAGGGCGACCGGCCACGACUGGGACUGAGACACGGCCCAGACUCCUACGGGAGGCAGCAGUGGGGAAUAUUGCACAAUGGGCGAAAGCCUGAUGCAGCGACGCCGCGUGAGGGAUGACGGCCUCGGUUGUAACGUACUUCUAGCAGGAAGAAGACGAAAGUAGAACGGUACCGUACGCGACGAAGAAAGGACGAACCGGACCGUAACUAACCGUUACGUCCGAACGCGAACGACCGGCCGGUAAACCGAACGUAACC